rnacentral:rRNA from 1 species
UACGUAGGCAGCAAGCGUUGUUCGGAAUUACUGGGCGUAAAGGGUGCGCAGGCGGUUGUGUGUGUCAGGUGUGAAAGCCCGGGGCUUAACCCCGGAAUUGCGCCUGAAACUACAUGACUAGAGCAUUGGAGAGGGUAGCGGAAUUCACGGUGUAGCAGUGAAAUGCGUAGAUAUCGUGAGGAACACCAGAGGCGAAGGCGGCUACCUGGACAAUUGCUGACGCUCAGGCACGAAAGCGUGGGGAGCAAAAGGG